UCUCUAUUUUCUUUCUCUAGAUCUUUCUCUCUUUUUGUGGAUUUUAUCUCUCUAGAAUCUUUGUACCCUCUCUCUGAUUGCAUCACAGACCCUAGGAUAUAUUUGAAAUAAAAAUAUGAUGAAUUGAGAUUGCUCCGAAAUUCGUGCAGUAGAUCUGAUCCCAGUCCGAUCCUAUUCGCAAUUUGUAACACUUGAUUCAUAUUGAGUCAUCCUGAUAGGACCUCUGAUGGUCUCGACCAUGAUUGCCUCAUCGAAAGGAUAUGAAGAUUCUUUCUCCACUUUCUCUCUCUACUUUCUCCCUCUAAAAUUUUCUCUCUCUUCAUGGAUUUUCUCUCUCUAGAAGUCUUAUGGAUCAGUGGAGGAUCCUGAUACAUAGACAAAUCCUAAUUUUGAUUAAUCCUAAGAGAGAUCCUUGAUUUGUGUAUUAGGAUCAAUUAUCGAUAAUUUCUCUAUAUGUGAUUUUUAUAUUGAUCAGGGUUAUGAAGAGAUGAUUGCCUGCAUAUGAUAUUAAGUGAAAUAUUUUGUUAAAAAAAUUCAUAAAUUAAAGAAGAACAUUGAUUUUUGUGCUU
rnacentral:lncRNA from 1 species